rnacentral:rRNA from 1 species
UGAGGCGGAGCAAACACAAAACACAGUCUCAGUUCAGAUUGUAGGCUGAAACUCGCCUAUAUGAAGUCGGAAUUGCUAGUAAUCGCGGAUCAGCAUGCCGCGGUGAAUACGUUCCCGGGCCUUGUACACACCGCCCGUCACACCAUGAGAGUCGAUAACACCCGAAGCCUGUAGUCUAACAGCAAUGAGGACGCAGUCGAAGGUGGGAUUGAUAAUUAGGGUGAAGUCGUAACAAGGUAGC